rnacentral:rRNA from 1 species
GAUGAACGCUAGCGGCAUGCUUAAUACAUGCAAGUCGUGGGGCAGCAGGACUGUAGCAAUCCAGUUGCUGGCGACCGGCAAACGGGUGCGGAACACGUACGCCACUUCCCCUGAACUGGGGGAUCUCCCGGGGAAACCCGGAUUAAUACCCCGUAAUAUAAUGGAGUAGCAUCCCUUUAUUAUUAACGCUUCGGCGGUUCGGGAUGGGCGUGCGGCUGCUUAGGUAGUUGGUUGAGGUAAUGGCUCACCAAGCCUACGAUCAGUAACUGGUGUGCGAGCACGACAAGUCACACGGGAACCGAGACACGGGCCCGACUCCUACGCGAGGCAGCAGUAAGGAACAUUGGGCAAUGGAGGCAACUCGGACCCAGCCAUGCCACGUAGAGGAUGAAGGGCCUCUGGGUUGUAAACUACUUUGAUAGGGGAAGAAACCUGUGAAUUCUGACGGAGUUGACGGUACCCUAGGAAUAAGCACCGGCUAACUCCGUG